rnacentral:rRNA from 1 species
GACGAACGCUGGCGGCGUGCCUAAUACAUGCAAGUCGAGCGCAGGAAACUGACGGAACUCUUCGGAGGGAAGGCAGUGGAAUGAGCGGCGGACGGGUGAGUAACACGUAAGGAACCUGCCUCAAGGGUUGGGAUAACUCCGAGAAAUCGGAGCUAAUACCGGAUAGUUCAUCGGACCGCAUGGUCCGUUGAUGAAAGGCGCUUCGGCGUCACCUUGAGAUGGCCUUGCGGUGCAUUAGCUAGUUGGUGGGGUAACGGCCCACCAAGGCGACGAUGCAUGGCCGACCUGAGAGGGUGAUCGGCCACACUGGGACUGAGGCACGGCCCAGACUCCUACGGGAGGCAGCAGUAGGGAAUCUUCCACAAUGGACGAAAGUCUGAUGGAGCAACGCCGCGUGAGUGAUGAAGGUUUUCGGAUCGUAAAACUCUGUUGUAAGGGAAGAACACGUUCGAGAGGAAAUGCUCGUACCUUGACGGUACCUUACGAGAAAGCCACGGCUAACUACGUGCCAGCCGCCGCAGUAACAC